CUCUGAGAAACCCUAAACCCAGCCACCAUCACUAUCCACCGUCGCGCUCUUCUCAUCGUUCUUCUCCUUGUCGCGUCAGUUGGUCGUCUUCUCUUCGGAUCGUUACUCUUCUUGUCGCCGUCGGCCGGUCGUCGUCUCUUCGGCGAUCUCUCUCUGUCGCUCUCUUCAAGGUCAACAACACAUAUUAUCGUCACCUCCCCUCGACGUCGAGUCUGAACUGUUGGCAUCGCCGCCGCGAAGGACUGCUCCGUCGUCGUCGCCGCCUCAUUCUCGUCAUCGAAACGCCUCUGUCUCCGAGCCAUCUCUCUCUCUCUCUCUGUGUUGAGCACCACUCUCAGUGCGUAGUGCAAACGUACCCUUGCCGCCGUGGACUUUGCCGUCGCCAUGGCCGAUCCGUCACUCACUAAAAAAUCCAAGAUCUCAUUGCCGUCACUUUCUUUCUUCGUCGCUGCCGGCUGAAAUUCAAGGAGCAUAUGCAGUAUUGGAGUAGAUAAGCAAGCUUGCCAAGGUUUAGAAAAAGGUCUCUGAAGUUAAGGGUGUCAUGAUCUAGAAUAUUGAAAAGGCUGUAGAAACGUGAGAAUUUUGUUUCAAUUAGAUAUGCAGUUUUAUUUUUCCCAUAGUAUCUAUUGAUUUGCCAGAUUUGGUUUUGAAACUUUAAUCAAAAUAAAACAGGAAACUUUAGUUUUGCAUGUAGCUUAGC